AUUCAUUUUUAAUAUCUUUGAAUAUAUAAUUUAACAAAUAUUUUGUAAUAAAUUUAAACUAACUGAAUUACAUGAACACCUCUCGUAUCGGAACUAUAGUUUCAAAAUACUUAUAUGAUGUUUCAUUGGCAUGAUUCAGAACUCAUGCGGAAAAUUUAUUUAGCAAUGACUAUUUAGUUAGCGACUUGCUGCCGUCGAGGAAUCAUGUUAAUUUUGUUAUUAUUAUUUGUUUUUGUGUCGGUAAUAGCGACAUGGGCAUACUUCAGACUAACUCUCGGUAUAUGUAAAAGUAGCCGUCAUUUAGUAGGCAAAGUGGUUAUUGUGACUGGAGGCAACGCUGGAAUCGGAUAUGAAACAGCAAAAGACUUAGCAGAUAGAGGAGCUCGUCUUAUAAUCGCCUGUAGGAAUGAGGGACGUGGUACAUCCGCCAGAGACAGCAUCAUCAAGGCAACCGGUAACAACAACGUACAUUACCGGAACCUAGAUUUGGCAUCACUAAAAUCUGUGAAAAAAUUUGCUGAAGACUUCUUAAAAACCGAUAAACGUCUCGACAUACUUAUCAACAAUGCUGGAGUAUUUGCAUCGGAUAAUGUCAAAACCGAAGACGGAUUAUUAUUAGGAACGCAAGUAAAUCAUUUUGGGCCUUUUCUCUUGACAUAUUUGCUAUUGCCACUACUAAAAUCAUCGGCGCCAAGUCGUAUUAUUAACGUAUCUUCGAUAGCAUAUGCAAAUUGUGAUAUGGAUCUGCAAAAUUUGAAUGCUGAAAAAGAAAAUGAGAAGACGUAUAAAAAGAUAAAUUUGUAUGGAAUGUCAAAACUUUGUAACAUUCUUAUGGCAGUAGAAUUAAGCCGUCAACUUAAAGGUACAGGAGUGACAGCCAAUAGUUUACAUCCAGGUUUAGUAAGGACAGAUAUACUUUACGACAUUAAUGUUUUCGGUUUUCAAUUGUUUUUACCAGUGAUAAAAUAUUUUACAAAGUCUGCAUGGGAAGGUGCACAAACGUCUAUAUAUCUGGCUGUUUCGCCGGAAGUUAAUGACAUAUCAGGAAAAUAUUUUGUGGACUGUCGUGCUAUGAAAAAUGUGAGGAGAAAUGGAUAUGAUUUAGAGUUAGCACGCAAACUUUGGGAAUUGUCAGAGAAGUAUGUGGGUAUCAAAGGAGAUCAUUAGUAAAAUUACACAUAAUAUUAGUGAAAACAAUCUUAAUGUUAAAAAUGUAGUGUUAUAUAACUUACAUAAAGCCAAACUUUAAUUGAUUUAAACAACAAAAAUGUUGUUCCAGUUUUAAAUGUCAUAAUACACCUUUGCCUUUGUUACGCCUUAUACGUUUUUGUUAAUUUAAAUAAUAAAUUAAAACAAAAACCGAUAAUUUUUUUUGACA